AAUAUUGGACAAUGGGGGCAACCCUGACCCAGCCUUGCCGCGUGUGUGAAGAAGGACUUCGGUUUGUAAAGCACUUUAAGUUGGGAGGAAGGGUUGUAGGUUACUACCCUGCAAUUUUGACGUUCCCAACAGAAUAAGCACCGGCAAACUCCGUGCCAGCAGCCGCGGUAAUACGAAGGGUGCAAGCGUUAAACGGAAUUACUGGGCGUAAAGCGCGCGUAGGUGGUUCGUUAAGUUGGAAGUGAAAGCCCCGGGCUUAACCUGGGAAUUGCUUUCAAAACUGACGAGCUAGAGUACGGUAGAGGGUAGUGGAAUUUCCUGUGUAGCGGUGAAAUGCGUAGAUAUAGGAAGGAACAUCAGUGGCGAAGGCGACUACCUGGACUGAUACUGACACUGAGGUGCGAAAGCGUGGGGAGCAAACA
rnacentral:rRNA from 1 species